GGGAUAGUUGGGGGCAUUAAUAUUUAAUUGUCAGAGGUGAAAUUCUUGGAUUUAUGAAAGAUUAACUUCUGCGAAAGCAUCUGCCAAGGAUGUUUUCAUUAAUCAAGAACGAAAGUUAGGGGAUCGAAGACGAUCAGAUACCGUCGUAGUCUUAACCAUAAACGAUGCCGACCAGCGAUUAGGAGACGUUGAAUACAAAACACCACCAUCGGCGCGGUCGUCCUUGGCGUCGGUCCUUCACGGGGCCGGCGCGAGGGCGGCUUAGCCCGGUGGCACCGGUGAAUGACUCCCCUAGCAGCUUGUGAGAAAUCAUAAGUCUUUGGGUUCCGGGGGGAGUAUGGUCGCAAGGCUGAAACUUAAAGGAAUUGACGGAAGGGCACCACCAGGAGUGGAGCCUGCGGCUUAAUUUGACUCAACACG
rnacentral:rRNA from 1 species